GAACGAAUCAGUACAUUGCUUAGCUUUAAAAUUAAUGCACUUAUAUAAUAGAAUCGAAGAGUACAUCGAUAGAGUAUGGUUAUUAAAUUGGGUAUGUUGUAAAGGUUAGAUGAAAUUGUCUACGUUUUUUUAUUCUUCUGUAAUGUUUACUGUUUUCAGAGUGUUUUUUUGUUUUCUUUUUUAGCCAUGGCUUAGUCAGUUUAUUUUCGACUUGUGGGUUUUUAUGUCCUCUGGGUAUCCUUUGCCUGUUUUUUAGUUAUGAUUUUUUUAAAAGUAAAUGAAAUAGCGGAUAAAUGGUUUAUUUUUAAAUAAAUUGUUACCUAUGUCAAAUUCAAAACAUUGCCAGUGUUUAUCUUAUGAAAGCACCAAAUGUUAGACAUGUCUACCGAAACAAAAACAUAUUCCAAUAAAAUCGUUAUCACGAUAUGAU
rnacentral:lncRNA from 1 species